AUUUGCAUCCUGGGAGUUGUAGUUCGCCCGCUCGUCCCCCGUGGGGGACAUUUUGAGAGCUGGGGCCCGCGGCGGAACGCGGCACGGCGGGACUACGGCUCCCAGGGUGCACCGCGGGCGGCGCCGCUGCCCUGCGCCAUUUUGAAGCCUGGGAGGAGAAGGAGGGUGUCGCAGUGGGAGGCGGUUUGGGGGCUGUGGGGUCCGUGCCCUGCGGCCGGACAGCGAUGGCCCCGCCGUCGUGGUGUACGGGACGGGGGUCCCGGCCGUUCCCGAGCCCGGUGGCUAAGGGCCCCGCGGCGAGCCGCCUCUCGGGGCCGCCCAAGGGGCGCCGCCACCUCCUGCGUCCCUGCAACUGCCUGACAAAAACGUCCAGCAGAGCCUUUUUUUCUCAUCAGAAAAGUAGGCGUUUGGCCACAGUGAAAAUGUCAGAGGAAGUGCUCCCUCCCUCCCCCUUUUUAAAAUUUCUAUGUACUUUUUAACCAGAAAACCCCAAGUCACUAGGGGCAUAAAACCAGUGUCCAGCCAAAAAAAGGAAAUGUUUCCAUUUUCUCUCCCAGAAGAACAUAAUGUGUGUGUGCAUGGAAAAGUGGAAUUCUUUCUGGAAAUGUUUUAUUGGUUUUGGCUAAAGAUGCUUCAUUUUUUUCCCCCUCAUUCAGUGCAAAGUUUAAAUUUUCAGUGGAAAUAAACUUCUCAAGUGGCUUUAAUAUUUAGCUCAUUUACAGUAUGUUCAGGGGGAAAAAAGGGGGAGGAAAGUCUAGUCUUUGAGUGUGAUACACCAUCAUAUCAUACAGAAGCUUGCAGGGUUUUCUUUUUUUUCUGUUUUUUUUUUCCUUUUUUUCCCCCUCCACCCCUUUCCCAGGCAGGUGGGUGCCCGCAUGUGCCUUGCAUGAUUGUGGGGGCUUCAUCAUUAAAUGGAAUUAAAUUAAUGCCUGCAAAGGGUCUGAACUGCUAAAGGCCAGGCCUUUAUGUAAUCAGGUCGCCCAUCACUGAAGGAUUAAGAGAAACAUAGGACUUUGGGCCUUGUAGAUAAGCAAAGCUCCUUGUUCACACCAUCAUUUUGCAACGAAAGAUGGAACUGCUGUGUAGUCCCACCACAUUGGAUUUUGGAGACACCUUUCUUUCCACGGUAUCUGAACCCUGUUUCGUCUCGGUUUCUUUGCUUAAAGCAUUCACUGAAGGCAAAUGCCCCUUGAACCUUCACCAAGGUGCAACGCGAGCUGGUGACUGGCAGGGGAUGGACUGCUGCAUCUUCAGCGAGACUGACCCUGCGAGCGUGAGACCUUCAGUCGCACCACAGAGCCAACGUCCUGAUGCCUGCACCGUCACGCUUCCCUCAGCUUGAGCUUGCCCUCAACUGAAACACCCUCCUCUCCUGCAAUGGGAAGAACCACGCCACCACGUCCAGCAAAGGAAACAGUUCAGAGCAGGAAUUUGGGCACAGCCACUGUGUGACAGGCUCUUCAUCACCCACCCUGGGAAGUGGAGCUGGCAGCGAGGGAAGCCAGCAUCCAGCAGGGAAGGUACUGCUCUCCCUUGUACUACAAAGCAACCUCCGCCUUGAACAGCUCUCCGGUGGGGGGACUGGCUCGAUUUUCCCUCUGUGGUAACGCUGUGAGACCUGAUUAGAGCUUAAACAACCUCUUAAGGAAGGGACAUAGCAAUUAUACCUUCCCUGUUGGUCCCAACUGUCCUAGGAGGAAAUCAUUAGGCACAUUGCUACUUUUAAAACAGUCUUGAAUCAGCUUAUGAAAUAGAGCUGGCCAAAGCAAAAAUAACCCCCGAACUUCUAAUUAAAAAGAGAAACCAUUUUGAGAGUUUUUUUUAAACCAGUUAGGGAGGGGAGAGAGAAUUCUGCUGAAGAGGGUCCAACUUGCUAUAGUUUAGAAAAAAAUCAUACUUACAUUUUCUGUGAAAAUUGCUUUUAGACAGAAAAAAGAUGCACAAAAAUAUUCAUAGGAGUCAGAAGUCUACAGUAAUGUCUAUAGCGACUGCUCCUUCAUUUCUAAGCUCUGUAGGCCUCCGAAGAGCAAAGUUUAAAAAAAUCCCCCAAAAGCGCAAGUCGUUGUUGUCAGUGUAAUAUGAGAACAAGCGAGCUGCAAGUUUUCCACCCACCCCUUCCCUUCACAGUGGCUUUAUCCGUGCGGCCUCACAUGCUCCUACACAGCAGGGCUGCUAUUUUCCAAGAAUAACUGGUGUCUUCACUUAACAGCGCCUUAAAGGAGCCUGGUUUGCCGAUUCCCCUCUCAGAUGGAGCACUGCAUACAACUCAUCAGUUUUGAGCACGUCAGGGUUACUAUUCAGACCUGAGGUGCCGACAGAGGGGAUCGCGUUUAGCCGGGGGAGGUUUAAGGACCCAGCUAUGCUUCGAGGCUGACAGCCCAAGGCACUGCUGUUCCCGCACACAGCUCGGAGGCCAAACAUGCACUGUGCUUCGCGAGCUUGUUUCCACUAUCGUUUGUCUCCCUGUUGAACGCCAGCCCGAGUCUGACCGUGACUCACAUCAGGUUAAUCCCAGCUCCAAAGAGGCAGGAAUAAUUGUAUCUCCAUCUGGAGCAACAAUGCAGCACCACAACCCAAAUGUUUUAAGGCAGGAAGCAAAGAACAUCCUAUUCACGGGAAACCACCUUGAGGGUCAUCUAAGGACUGCGUUCCCUAAAGCCUAAAUUUUGCCUGAAUGCAAGAACCAGCGACGCUGUUCUUGUGGAAGACGUGGCAGAAAUCUGUUUGCAUUGGAAAGAGUAACACAUCAUUAAAAAUCCACUAACAAGG